rnacentral:Y_RNA from 1 species
GGCUUGUUCAAAGGAACUGAGUUUUCUCGGUUGAUUACAGUCAGUUACAGAUUGAACUCUUUGUUCUAUCCUUCCCCUGCCUUCUUACUGUUGCACUUGACUAGUAUUUA